UGGUUUUUUAUUUGACCAAUAUGCAGAUGAAUCUAUAUAAUGAGAAAGUUUCUGAAGUUUGUUAUAAAGAGAGUGGUUAAGAAACUGAAAAGAUCGGAAUAUAAAUUUGUCUGCUAAAUAUUGACGACGUAGAUGUAGUGGAGGAUCACCACAUUCUACUUGAAGAGCAUUGAUAGGACUUGACCGCAUAGCACCAGAAACUACUCGUAAAGCUUUGGACUGUAUGAGAUCUAGUUUUUUAAAUGCCUUAACACUACCAGGCUCCAGCAAGAAUGUACCAUAAUCUAAUAUACUUCUUAUAAGAGCAUUAUAUAACAAUUUCAUGCAAAAAGGGUGCGCACCCCACCAAACACCUGACAGACAUCUUAAAAUAUUAAGAGUACGCUCACAUUUAGCAUUUAGGUAAUCACAAUGUGGGAUACCAGUUAGUUUCGAAUCUAAGACAAUUCCCAAAAACUUAACAUUAUCUUUAACUGGAAUCUGAUAACCCUCAUAAAAUAUAGAAAUAGGAGGAGGAGUUCUUGAUCUCGUGAAUAAAACUAUUGUACUUUAUUCAGGUGAUAGAUCAAGGCCAUUUAAGUCCAACCAAGUUUUUAAAUUUAUCAGCGGUUGUGUUAUAGAAGAACUAGCUUUUUCAAUAGAAAUAUCACGACAGUAAAUUAAUAGAUCAUCAGCAUACUGAAGAACAUUUACACAAUUAAGUGAUGAUUUUAAAUCGUGUGUAUAAAUAUUAUACAAUAUUGGGCUAAGUACUGAUCCCUGGGGGAGGCCCUUUGAAACAAGUCGAGUAAUUGACUUCCUGUCAUCUAGUUUCAGGAUUAUGUAUCUUUCGGAAAGCAUGUUUAUGAUAAAAUUUGUUAAUAGCAGAGGUAUAUUAAGUUGUAAAAGCUUACUCUUUAAAAUACUUAUUACGACAUUAUCAUAGGCACAAUUUAUAUCUAAGAACGCAGCUAUUACUGAUUUAUUAUUUGAAAAUGAUAAUUGAAUAUCAGAAAUGAAUAUACUUAAGCUAUCAAUAGUACUUUUCCCACGUCUGAAACCGAAUUGGGAUUCACAUAAUAGACCGUUAUGCUCAACAAACCAUUCUAAACGAUUUUUUAUAAGAUGUUCUGUAAUUUUCAUCAAAACAGAAGAAAGUGCGAUUGGGCGAUAGGCAGAAUGGUCUGAAGAACACCUAUUAGGUUUCAGUACGGGAAUUAUUUCUUGACGUUUCCACGUGGAGGGGAUGUUACCAGAUGUCACUAUGGAAUUUAUAAGAGAUAAAUAAUAAAAUAAAGCAUCAUCAUCUAAAUGAGAGAUAAAGGAAUACGGAAUACCGUCCAGUCCAGGAGCAGAAUCCUUAACAUGAGACAAUACACCUUUUAGUUCAGUGAGAGAAAAUAUACUGUUUAAACCAAAACAGUUAUCAUUAUUUAUAUUUAUUACAGGGUAACCAAUUAUUAAGUCUUCAGGAACGAAAGGUGGAGCCAAUUUAUCUAAAAAGCUAUUAACUAAAUGAAAAGGGAUUGAUUUUGGAGAUGAAUCUUUGUAUGCAGAUCUAAACCUUCUUAUAUUUUGCCAUACAAGAGAUGGUUUGAUAUCAGGUUGGAAAUGAUAAUAAUAGUGGGAAGUGAUCACUACCAAAAGUAGAUCGUAAUGGAUCCCAGGACAAAGAAGAAGCAAGAUUAGGUGUAGUGACUGUUAAAUCUGGAGCACUUGGGCCCUCGUCAGGAUGAGAACGUCGUGUAGGACAACCAUCAUUUAAUAUACACAAAUUCACUGAAUCAAAUAUAUCUAUUAAUGUGUUACCAUAACUAUUAGAAGAUAAGUAACCCCAGGAUUCAUGGCGACAGUUAAAAUCACCAAGGAUCAUAAAAGGCUUUGGAAGAAUGGAAAUAAUAUCUUUAAUUUCAUUUAAGAUUGCAGAAGAAGGAUGAGGUAUAUAAAUAGAUACAUAACAGAUAUUUUCAACAGAAGCAGCAAUAAUAGAAAAAUCAUUACUGUGAGAAGGAAUAGAGAAGAUAGAAAAGGAAAGAGGGUGUUUCACAAGCAUGGCUACUCCGCCAUGCCCAUCCACACGAUCUUCUCUGAGACAUGAAUAACCUCGAAUCUUAAAUAAAGAUCCUGGUUUCAACCAUGUCUCUUGAAGAGCACAGAUAUAAGGUUUAUAUUUAUUUAAUAAAUAAAUAAGAUCACUUUUUUUAGGAGUGAUGCUUUGACAAUUCCAUUGAAGAACUUUGUCCAUUAUUUGGUUUAUAAAUUUGAGUAAUUGCAGAAACUAAUAAGGCAGCGUUGGACGGUGAAAAUUCAUUCGAUUGACUAAGAGAUUUUAUAAGAGAAAUAAUUAAAUCAAUUACUGAGGAUUCCAAA